rnacentral:rRNA from 1 species
ACGGGGAAGAGCCCAAACCGCUGCCGUUUCGGCGACGGCGGGGUCAUGGGACCGCGACAUUCGACGGAAGACGAAGUGCAAUUACCUGGAAAGGUAAGCCGUGGAGGGUGACAGCCCCGUGCACGACACCUCUUUCUUAGAUAGCGGAAUCCCGAGUAGGGCGGGACACGAGAAAUCCUGCCUGAAUUCGCCAGGACCUCCUGGCAAGGCUAAAUACUCCCGAGAGACCGAUAGUGAACCAGUACCGCGAGGGAAAGGUGAAAAGUACCCCGAGCAGGGGGGUGAAAUAGACCCUGAACCCGCGCGCCUACAAGCGGUCGGAGCCACGCGAUGUGGUGACGGCGUGCCUUUUGCAUAAUGAGCCUACGAGUUAGUCGUCACCAGCGAGGUUAAGGGCUUCAGGCCCGUCAGCCGAAGUGAAAGCGAGCCUUAACAGGGCGUGAAGUUGGUGGCGCUAGACGCGAAACCUUGUGAUCUACCCACGAGCAGGUUGAAGUCGCGGUAACACGUGAUGGAGGACCGAACCGGUAAACGUUGAAAAGUUUUCGGAUGACUCGCGGGUAGGGGUGAAAGGCCAAUCAAACUGGGAAAUAGCUCGUACUCUCCGAAAUGCAUUUCGGUGCAGCCUGUGAUGUUCUGUUCCAGAGGUAGAGCUACUGGUUGGACGCGAGGGCUUCACCGCCUAUCAAAUCCGGAUAAACUCCGAAUGCUGGAACACGAAAUCAUGGAGUGAGCCCGCGGGUGCUAAGGUCCGCGGACGAGAGGGAAAGAACCCGGACCACCGGCUAAGGUCCCGGAUGGACAGUUAAGUUGAUCAAACGAGGUGGGAUCGCGGAGACAGCUAGGAUGUUGGCUUGGAAGCAGCCAUUCAUUUAAAGAGUGCGUAACAGCUCACUAGUCGAGCGAUCCCGCGUGGAUAAUACACGGGCAUAAAACUGUCAACCGAAGCCGUGGGGUUAGCUUUAUUGCUAACCGGUAGGAGAGCAUUCCUGCCAGCUUUGAAGGUCACCCGCGAGAGUGACUGGAGCGGCAUGAAAAGCAAAUGUAGGCAUAAGUAACGAUAAUGGGGGCGAGAACCCCCCACGCCGCAAGACCAAGGUUUCCCCGGCAAUGUCAAUCAGCCGGGGGUCAGCCGGCCUCUAAGGCUCACCCGAAGGGGGAUGCCGACGAGAAACGGGUUAACAUUCCCGUGCUUCUCGUCACCGUGACGCGGUGACGGGGUGAUGAAUGGACCGCGCGCUGACGGAAUAGCGCGUUGAAGGCCGUACCCUUUGAGGGUGGUAGUCAAGCACGCCACCCGAGGCGACAGCCGAUAGUACCUCGAGGCCUCGGCCGAGUGGAUAGCGUCCAGGCAAUUAACCCCCUAGAAAACCCGCUAAACUUCAAGUGACGAGGAACCGUACUGUAAACGGACACACGUGGUCGGGUAGAACAUACCAAGGCGCUCGAGUGAUUCAUGGUCAAGGAACUAGGCAAAAUAGUCCUGUAACUUAGGGAUAAAGGACGCUCUAGUGAUAGAGCCGCAGAGAAAUGGCCCAGGCGACUGUUUACCAAAAACACAUGGCUAUGCCAAAUCGAAAGAUGACGUAUAUGGCCUGACACCUGCCCGGUGCCGGAAGGUUAAGAGGAGAGCUCAUCCGCGAGGAGAAGGUUUGAAUUGAAGCCCCGGUAAACGGCGGCCGUAACUAUAACGGUCCUAAGGUAGCGAAAUUCCUUGUCGGGUAAGUUCCGACCUGCACGAAUGGUGUAACGAUCUGGGCACUGUCUCGACCAUGAGCUCGGUGAAAUUGUAGUUCCGGUGAAGAUGCCGGGUACCCGCGACGGGACGGAAAGACCCCGUGAACCUUUACUGCAGCUUCGCGUUGUUCCCGGGCACGGGACGUGUAGGAUAGGUCGGAGGCUACGAUUCGGUUUCGCCAGGAAUCGAGGAGCCAUCGUUGAAAUACGACCCUUCUCUUGUCUGGGAUCUAACCCUGGUUAUAGGGGACACCGCGUGGUGGGUAGUUUGACUGGGGUGGUCGCCUCCAAAAGCGUAACGGAGGCUUCCAAAGGUACCCUCGGGUUGGUUGGUAAUCAACCUCAGAGUGCAAUGGCACAAGGGUGCUUGACCGGGAGACCAACGAGUCGAUCGGGUGCGAAAGCAGGGCAUAGUGAUCCGGUGAUCCCGCGUGGAAGGGUCAUCGCUCAAAGGAUAAAAGGUACUCCGGGGAUAACAGGCUGA